GACGGAGGGUGCAAGCGUUGUUCGGAAUUACUGGGCGUAAAGCGCGGGCAGGUGGCCUUUUAAGUCCUUUGUGAAAUUCCGGAGCUCAACUCCGGAUGUGCAUAGGAUACUGGAAGGCUAGAGACUGGUAGAGGCGAGCGGAAUUCCUGGUGUAGCGGUGGAAUGCGCAGAUAUCAGGAAGAACACCCGUGGCUAAGGCGGCUCUCUAGUACGGUACUGACGCUGAGACGCGAAAGCGUGGGGAGCGAACAGG
rnacentral:rRNA from 1 species